rnacentral:lncRNA from 1 species
UUUUUUUUUUUUUUUUUACCAAUAAUCUGGAUCCAAGAAAAAAUCUAAAAUGGGAAGGGUUUGGAAGGGAGGCAGAGAGUUCUACAGUGAUUCACACCUUGAAUUCAUGGCUCAUUCACUUCAGUAUCAAUAGUGUCCACACAGAAAAGACACUAUUAUUUCACAUAAUGGAGGGGGCAGCCAGACAAUUGGCUUCAUUGCACACUGCAGCUACAUUGACAUUUGUAGAAAUGUCCAAAUCCAAAGGGAUAAAUAAUUCACAGCUCUACUGAAAGAUAGUACUAAAGGGGUUUGAUAGAUUGAUAAAGAAGGAUGCAGCUGUGAAAGUCUGGCACUUCCAAGCUUCAGGGAAUUUGGACUGGCAUACUAUGUCCUCACAUUUCUAGAGAACUGUUAAACUAACCCCCCCCUAAACUUCAUUUUUUAACUUCAAAUAAUCCCUAUGAUAAAGCACAGGAAGAUUAAAAAAAUAUAUCAAAAAAUACCCAAGGAAAAUGGCUCUGUAAAAAGUUACAGAAAGGCAAUGAGAGAGGGGGUUGACUUGCAGUUUUCUAAUUACUUCUUUAAACACAUUCUUAAAUUGGAAUGACAUAUCUUAAAGUUCCUUUCUCUGUGGUUUGACAAAUCAACAGUUUACCCACUGUAAAAAUAAUGACAUGUUUCAUUUAUUUUCACUGGUUCUUUUCAUAGAAUAUUUUAUUCUUAAAAUUGCAAGGACAGCUGAAAAGCUUCUUUGAGAAUGCUGAAAUCUGUGCAUUACAAAAAUAUCUGUGAUACCUAAUUCUGUUAACAAUUAAUGUAAUGGCUUUAUUUGUUUCUCAUGGUAUCCUCUGCAUUCCAAACAUUUGAGGAUAUUCACUCAAAUAGACAUUUAUCUGAUUUUAACUCUGGAGGGCCCUUGUCCUGUUCACAUUCCAUGCAGCCAGAGCUGGGACGCAUUUCAAAACCAAUCCUCAUCAGAUAUGUGGACAACAGUUGCAGAAUAAAUAAAGGGGUCAAUUCUAUGCAAAACACAAGUUUUCCCCUUUAAGCGCUUCUGACCUGCCUGAACUGACAGUAGGACUAAGCAGUAACUCAUUUUCCCACAUGUUGAUAUGGCACAUAGACUUAAGAAUCAUGAAGCUCAAUCCCCCAUGUUACAGGCAGUUGUGAACAGUCCCCUUGCUAACAGGUCCUUCUCACUGCUGAAAAUAUUUCUAUAUAUGCUUUUAAUUUUUAUAGAGUUUCAGGACCUAAAAGCUUAUUUCUAUCUAUGGUAAAUACUGUGAAAACAAUAAAAAACCUUGUGGUGUGGCUUAUAUUAAAAAAUGUGCCAAAUUUGUUUAUUUUAUAUUUUUUCUGAUUUUCCUUCCACAGGGAGAGGACUUAAACAGGUGUGAACAUGUUUUGCCUUCUCUUUUCUCUCCAUUCCUUUGGUUUUGGACUUUUAAGGGUUGGUCUCUUCCUCUGUCCUAAUUUCAGCUUGGGGUUCCCCAGUGUUCCACUCUCCUCUCUCUCUAAUGCCUAUAUCCACCUUCUUCUUUGGACAUUCAGCUAUAUCUGAACCACAGAGUCACAAAUCUACCCUUUUAUUUCAGACCUAACUAAUUUCCAAACUAAAUUCUCAGCAUGUCUCUCUGAGUUCCUGUGGAUACCUGUCAAAUUAAAGUCAAAAUUGUAACUUCUUCUUCCUCGGGUAUUUGAGGCUACUUUCUUCCUCAUUUACCAUGGAUAAUGGUAUAUAUAUUCAUAUAUCAAAGAUGUCAUCUUUAACUUGGCUUGCUCCUAGUUUUCAAAUGUCAAGGGUGUGGAAUAUGCUUAAGUUCUAUUAUACAGCACCUGCCCUUCCACACCUUCACAAGACAAAUUUUUUUUCCAGAUGAUCAUCUAUUGUCUUCCUAUUUGCAACUUUCUUUUGCUUCAAAUUGAAUAAAGGAACAUCAAUGCUUCAAUGUGCACAAAACAGCGAUGCUUACUAAGAUUAUUUACCUGUCUCCCUGAGACGAGCAAUCCAUGACCUGGCAGCAUAAGCCUCUCUCUCCUCUACCACGAUGUGACUUAUUGAAGUUGUUCGCAGCUUUUCCUCGCUCUAUUUAAAUAUUAUCUCACAUUCAGCUUCAGGAGUUUGAAGCCCAUCUCCAGCUUAUGAUUAUUUUCGUCAUGUGGCAAAUUUUCAAAGAAGCUAUAGGCUCACACUCAGGAUCCUCUUUAUGUUUGUUUUUUUAGUAAAACUAACAGAACUACCUUAUUAUCUUUCAAACAAUUUCUACCAAUGUCCUUCCCCUAACAGAAGCUGGAUAAUGUGCAACCUGUUGGUGCACCUGAACCUUUAAUAUCUUUUUUUUUUGACUGUGUCAUUUCCUUAUUGCUUUUUGCUCCCAGCCUCCUAUGUAGACCAGAUGGCAAACUGGCCAUGGACCUAAUUCACACUUUGCAUCUUAACAGAGAGCUCAGCAGAGGAAAAUCCCAUCUCACUUGUAGGGCACACAUAUCUGUGGUAACACAAACUUGUGAAAACAUAAUUCUAAUACACAGCAUGACCAUAAAAAAUAACCAUAAACUCUUUGGAGUUCCAAAGAACAUUGGUUUUAAUACUUCUACAAUCUUUUUUAUAGCACUGAAUGUUCUCAUUGGAAAUCUUACCACAUUUAGCCUACACAAAACAGGAUGACAUUCAGAUGACCUGACAUUAGACACCUCCAGUGUAGUAAUUUCAUUCUGUAGUAAUUCUCUAGACUUCCCCUCAUGAAGAAAAUAGAUGAACAAACACUUCUGGGCACAACUUAUCUCAUCCUGAAUAAUCAUCUAUGGUAGAUGUGAGUCACGGCCUCGUUGGGCGUAUUUUCUCCUAUUGUGUAUGAAGAUGGUAAGAACUGCAGUGCAGAAACACAUACAGGCAGCAUAGAUGUCUAAAGUGAGGGGAUAUAAAUCCCAGUCCUGCUGGUGGCACAAAGCAGCACUGUACUUUUCACUGGGUAUUUCAAUUCCAUCCUUAUUUAAGGUGUUCUUAGCACUAAACUUGUAUCAAGGACACAUAUGCAGGGAAAGUUCAUCUCAUCAAACACAGCCAAAAGAACAUAACAAUUAUUUUCUGUUCCACAAAAGAAAUAGCAUCUGUUUAUUUCUGAUAUAGAAAAUACACUGAUCUAGCUUCAGCUGGCAUGAGAACAAUGAGAGCUUGAGUCUUGCAUUUUCCUUAAUCUUUAUUUAGUUUUAAUUUGUUUUAAAGUGUAUUCACCACUAUCCUCCUUGCCAGAUUUCUUCUACAUGACUGAAAACUAAUCCUUGGACAAAUGUGAAAGCAAAGAGAUCUCUUAAAUAGUAUCUGUAUGUUCUUUUGUCUCAGAAAAUGUAAAUUAGGGCACCGGGUAAAUAACAUGCUUGGCUUUGUGUCAUGAAAUGUGAUUGUGGUGCUAUGUCAGAGUCAUGAUUUAUGAAGCUAUCAGGACUAGAGUGGACAGGGGCCAGCUUACACCUGCAGCACAAUUUUUGCUGCUUUUCAGACAAGAAACUCUGGAGUAGGGGGCACUGGCUACUAAGGUGAUACUAUUUAACAGAUUGGCAGGCACCCCUUUGAGAUGGACAGGAACAGUGCAGAUUGGGGAAAAAAAUUAAAAUAAAAGACAAAUUGCUAAACUGAAUUUAUAUAAAGUAAAUAGAAAGUAUAUUUCAAUAGGAACAAAGACAGUAAUAGAAAUAGUAAAUCAUUUCAGCAACUCCACAAAAUCCUUAACUACACAUGAAUAAGAGAGAAACAGGAGUUAUCUUAAGGAAGUAUAGGAUUUUUACACAGUGGUGUAUCUGAAUAACAACUUAUUUUAAAUUCAAGGAGCUAGCCCAAAAAAUGCCUCUUUGCUGGUACCUAAUGUGGCCCAUUAAAAAAAAAAUAAAACAAAACAAAAAACAAAAACCAAACAAAAAAAACUUUACCACAAACCAAAAGAAAACAAGCAGCAAAUAAAUAAAAGCACCAGAGUAUGUGUCUCUGCUUCAGUGACUAGGAUAUUAGGAGUCUAUUACUGUCCAUCAUAUUAUUCUCUUUCUUACUUAUUCACAGCUCACUGACCAGAUUACAAAAUUACCAGUUUCAGAGGCUGCUGGGGAAGGCAAAAUAUUCUUCACAAGAGUGAAAUGCAUGGAACGAAGGAGUACAAAGAAAAGAUUUCUUGUGUAUGCUCUGCAGUACUUUUCUGGUUAUUAAAUGGAGCUUACAGUAUUGUGGCAGAAAUUUGACAAGCCAUUUGCCACCACAAAAAACUUAUGUAUAGAAAGUGAAUUUUUUGUAGUGAAGCAAUAUCUGAGCAGCCCUAAUUUACUUGAAUGUAUUCAGUUUACAAGUUUAUAUUUAUUUCUUCAUAUUACACUGUUGAUUUCCAUUAUUCAUAAUUUUCAUUGAGUAGAAAUAUCAGAUAAAUAGAAUUUUUCCAAUUUUUCACUUUAUGAGCAUAAAUUCAUAUAUCACAUGUUAAUUAAAUUUUAUUCUUUUAAGUGCUAGAAUCUUUGCUUCUCCUGAGUAUUUUUCCUCAAUCACAACACAAAAUGCAGAUGUGCACAUAGUGAAAGAAACCAUCAAAACAUCCAGCAAAAAUGUUACCAUUUUUCUCUAAAUGUAUAAUUACUUAAAGAACUUUUUUCAAUAUUGUAAAUCUAUAUAUUAGGAAGGUGUCGUGGUUUGACAUGGAAAAAGAAUUUUUCCAGAAGGAAGAGGUCAAUUUGGACAUUAACCAAUUGAAGGUAGACACACCUCUGAGAACACAGAGGGGUUAAAAGCAGAAUUCCCAGGAGAACUCGCUCUCUUGGGUUCUGGUCAGCGGUCAGUGCAGGACUCUCCCCUGCCCGGCCACGAGCUGGGUGGGGGAGGGGAGAAGCCAUGUGGCUUUCGGAGAUAGGCCCAAGGGUGGAGGGGCUGGAACCAGGCUGGCCCCCUGCAGAUGGAAGGGUGGAGAAAUCUGGGAUGUCUCCAUUUCCCCCCAGAGUCUCUCUCUCUCCCAAGAGAGAAAAAGAGACAGCGGUGGUUUUAUCAGCAGUUCACCGCGGGGAAGGAGAAGAGCGGGGGGGCCGCAAAGUGCCCAGCCGCCUGUGGGAGCUGGAGCCUGGGCAGCAAGCCAUCUCUGGGAGCUGGGACUUUUAACCCUUCCUGAGAAAUGAAAGCUUUGUGAAAUUUUUCUCCUCCUUGGUUUGAAAAGAGAGGAAGAGAGACAACCUGGGACCUGGGAUGUUGGAAGGAGAAAUUCUAGGUGGGAGGAGAUGAUGGAGUGGCUUUUGGCUGGACUUUUUCUUGGUAGCCACAGAUUGAACUGAUCUUCUCCUCCAAGAGAGACUGCAUUUUAGGAGGAUGCUGGUGAGCCAAAGAGACCUGCUUCAGCUGGGAAAAGACAGAAGUGAAGCGAACAGAGAAAAGUUAAGGAGGUUUGUGGUGGUGCCCCCUGUCUUCGCAGAGGAAGAAGAGAGGAAGAUCUCUGUUCUUGGACCCUCGGCCCCAGGGGAAAAUGGGGGGGACUGUUGGUCCCAAAAAUGAAAAACUGAACUGUUGUUUUUCCCCUCUUGGCAGUGCAUCCUUGAAAGGAAAAAUCCUAAAAGCAGUCUGUCCAUCCAUGCAUUGGUGGUGAGAGCACUGUGCAUGGAAAGGAGAGGGUCACCACUAGCAAACUUUUUUUUCUCCGGGCGGUGCCAUGUGGUGACAUGGAAGCACAGGAUGUGGCAGCUGUGUUUCUUGGGGGGUCUGUGGCACAAGAGAGACUCUUCUCUCCUUGCAGAUGGACUGGGUGUUGAUUAUCUGGAGGGUGGAAACCUGAUUGGGGUCCAGAUUGUGUCUCACUGUGGUUUGUUGGAGUUAGGUGGUGGGAGGAGGAAUGCUUUGGAAGGUUUUCAUUUUGAAUUGUGUGUGUUUCUUUUUUUUCCCCCUCUUUUAUAGUAGCAUAGUGGUAGUAGUUUAAUAAAGUUUUUUUUUUCUUGUUAUUAAGCUUGGGCCUGCUUUGCUCUGUUCUCGAUCACAUUUCACAGCAUUCAGUUGAGAAAUUGCAUUUUCAUGGGGGGGCACUGGCAUCGUGACAGUGUCAAACCAUGACAGAAGGUUAGUUAAACCUGCCUAAAGAGAAAUUAUUAUUUUCUGUGCAAUCCUUAACAGGGAGAAACACAGACAUUUAAACCCAAAGUGGACAAAAAGCUAUAGUGAGUUCUCACAGUCACACAAUUGUGCCUCUGGUUAUGUGCUCAGACCAGGUGGAUAUGGUAGAUAUCAUUGUUUCAGAUGCUAGGAAUCCAAGCCUGUCCUACCCUACCAAACACGACCCUAUUUCUAGCACACAGCUGUCAAACACAAAAGGGUCAGCCACUAAGCUAGAACAAAUUGAUACACGUAAUGUUGAAGUCUGUAUUUUUCAGGUGCCAACAUAUUGGUAAUGCCCCGUUACUGUUUCCCACUUUGAACUCCCCAUAAAUAUUGGUUCAAAUCUUUUUUUGUAUUUACAAAUUCCCAAAGUCCACCCAUCCAACAUCAUAAUGAAAUGAUAUACCCUUGGUUCUUUUAAUCAGGGCUUGGUUGUUUUGUGUUGGGUUUUUUUUUUUUUUUUUUUUUUUUUUUUUUGUUGUUGUUGGUUUUUUCUAUGCUCUUGGCCAUUAGAGUGCAAAUUUUUAUUAAAACUAAAUAGAAAGACAGUGAACAAAUUAUCAUUUAAAUCUUUCUAUGUGAAAUAAAAUUAUCUAUUUAAUGCUUUAGUUCCAUUCAGCUAGAAUGAGAUUUCCAUUGGCAUCCUGAAAAUUCAAUAUGCCAAUCUGGCAUUGUGUUUCUUAUCAGAAGUUUCUGCUGCAAUAAAAUGCACUAUAAGAGGUUAAAAAUUGGAUGAAAAUAAUCUCAUUAUUUAUGUUUAUAAAAAGUCAGAGAAUUACCACUGCACAGUACUCAGAAAGUUGAUUCUGGAAGGAAGAUUAUGUAUUAAGCCUGGACUUCAAGUUAAAUGAUAGUGAGCAUACCUAACCUCUGGGCACUAGAUUACUCCAACACAUUUUCAUUGCUGU